CAAAAAGAAUGGUGGACGUUACCACGUGUUCGCGGCAAUUAAUGCAUUUCUUGUUUUCAAUAAUACUCUACCUUGCCACAAGAAAAAAAUGAAGUGACAUUUAUAAACCUUUCCGUAUUUUGCAAUUCCGUUUCUUUAAAAAUUUCAAAUGAUUGAUAAUUUAUCCCCCUUUGAAUCGACACGCCAUUUGUAAACAUGGAAGGUCGCGGAGAAAAUGAAACUACCAAAAACAAUUAUUUGAUGAUUCAUUUCGAUUGUAUAAAGAAUGACAGUUAGCGAAUCUCAAGAUCAACCACUGAGGAUUGUUUGGCUUGAUGCAAUGACCUUAAACAGUGAAAUGAUUUUCCAAGAAGGUCUAUACACAACAAGCUGGAUUUUAUGGGGUGAGGAAAGAACUAUCAAUAUGUAAAUGGGAAUGAAACAAGGAAUUAAUAUGUUCUACUGAUCAUCCAGCGGAAAUCAUGCCUGUGGAAUAGAAUGCAUGUCACAGAUACUGAUAUGAGCAAAUAACUCCAUAUUGCACAAAUAAGGCCAUGUUUCCUGCCCUCAUGACCUGAAAAAGUUAAAAAUUCUAGUUCAAAUUACAAAUGUGUUUCAAGAAAAAGUAAACUUAGUCAACUGUGAGAAAUAUUGGGUAAAAGUAGUGUUUUGAUGUCAUGACAGCUGUGAAGUUGUUUGAGAAGCACUAUCCUAAUUGUUCUAUCAAUACAGAAUUUAACUUAUAAAUUUUCCAAAACUGCAUGCAUGAAAUACUAAGACAGUCACAUGUCUGUUGAAUGAAUCCUAGUUGUUUCAAAGCUACAACAUGUGUGACAUUAAAGCACAACCUUUGGAGGAAACUUUUUUACAAUAAAAACUGCCUUGGCUUGCCAGUGUGAGUGUAGGAAGGAUUUUUCCAGAAAUGGCAGAAAACUACCAAUAUAGCAGAAAAUAUUUGUUACUGGCUAAAUAUAAUGUAUUUUAUUUCAAGAAUUAAUCAUGUUAAUCCAUGGUUAUAAUUGUGUUAAAAGAUAUUUUUACAUGACAUGACCAUUGCAGAAAUAGUUAAUUUUUUUUGCAAAACAUUGUGAGUUGCCAUGGUAACACAAAUUUGAAUUAAAAUAAUUUAGAUUUGUUUGAUUAUGUAAACAGCAUUUGUCUUGUUUAUAUUCUGCUAAUCAGACUAUGUUCUGCAAGAAAAUAUCUUUUAUAUAUAUCCAGUCUAAGGAAUCUUGGUCAGAUACAGAAAAUAUCUGUGGUUUGCUGCCCAGCAUGUUGUCUCAUUAUCACUGACAAGCUGAUUGACCACAGUGAAUUAUUACCCAACACUGGAGGCUGAUAUAAUGUUGAACAUCUUGGUAAAUUGUAAUCUAAAAAUCUGUAACACAUUAACUUUCUAUGUUUUUUUCUGGAUCAAAACUUGAAACCCCUUGUCUGAAGAAAAAUUAAAAUGGUGAUGUGUACGACUUCAGUCCAGAUGCACAUUUUACAACAUCAGUGAGCUUCCAAGCAUGUCUAAAAAGCACAAAAACACAGCAUUCAUGAGAGCACCACACAAAAAGGUCUCAGACUGAAGCAACCUCUGAAUUAACCCCUAAGUCUAUCAAAUAUUACGUAAAUUGAUGAUUAUGGAAGUGCAUGUUACACUGACACUACAGUUUAUGUGCAAAUAUAGUAAAUGUAUCAUUUUUUGGACAUACUAGACAGAGGGAAGGGAGUAGGGCAUCAGACCAGGGCUUGGGGGAGUGUGUAGUUUGCCCCCACCUCCAACAAGUUUAGUGUUGAUAUGAUGUAAGCUCAGGAUCUAAACUGCUUAUACUAAUUUUAUCUGUGGAUAUAUUUAAUUUUAUUAGAAGUUUGAACCCAUACUUCCAGACUCAUAUUUGUGUCCUCCCCGAUCCCCAUGAUAAUAGGACCCCUGCCCUCCUUGUUGAAAUGGCUUCUACUUGGGUAUAUAUGUAUGUAAUUAACAUAUUUCAUAUUUAUACAUGUACAAAUUGUAUACAUGUAAUUGUUAGGUUUUAUUAAUGUAUUUUAGCCCGAUUGUGAAGAAAGCUUAUAACUAAAUUAUUGUUCAAGCAAGUUCAAAACUAUGUACUUUAAAUAAUUUUAACUCUAAAUAUUAUGCUGGCGGCAAUUGCAGUGGCAAUUGUAUUUACCUCUGCGACCAUUGCAGAGCAAGAUCAUGAUCUACACUGUUUGCAAUUCAGUUAGUAAGUUUUCAAUUAAUACCCCUAUAAACUUUAAAUGGUACUGUCAAAAUUGAAAGAUGAGCAAGUUUAUAUUGUAAAACCUUAACAAGGUACAUAGUAACAGCUAAAGCUUCAAAAGGUUCGAAUAAAAAAUUUAAGAAAUCGUGAUCAUUAAUAUUCUACAGUUGAAUAUAGAAAAAAAUGUAUUUUGUGUUGGCUAAAUUUAAAACAUACUUUUAAUUAUCAUUGUUAAUUAUUUUUACUUUUUUGUUCUAAAAACAUGAAAAGCCGUUUUUUUAUUGUAAAAGCAUAUAAAUGUUUGAGGUCAGAAUGUUUAAAUUAAUGUCGAUUAGGAGACUCAAGAACACCAAAUUCAUUUCUUUCCCAUCUGACGUUAUACGUGAAAUAAGACAUUAUAAGACAUGUGCAUCCUUCUUAUUAUGCCUAUUCAAAUGUCAGGCUGGUCUGGAUCCAUGCUGGUCGCAAAGCCACUAUGUUGGGUUUUUCAUGGCGCGGCUCAUAUUUUGUUUCCUUUUCAUAAAAUGUUACUAAUUGUUAUCAAUAUAUAUUUUGUUACAGAGACUACAUAUUAUAAUUAAAAACUAUAACUUUUUAGGGCCUUUGAUUGUUAGCAAUGUUUUACCUAUAUUUGACAUUGAAAGAAAAACUGAAAUUAAAAUAUAUCAGAAUUUAGAAAUGAUAAUUUAAAAUUAUACUUUAAUUUUGACACCUUAUUUUAAGCAGCAAAAUCAUUUAUUAGCAAUAACUGUAUAUACAAAAGCAAUCUUUAAAUAAAGAAACCAUGAGAUAAUUGUUGCUAAACUGAUGUAUAAAUUAUGCCCAUAGGUCUUCUUUAAUAUUGUUUAGCUUCUGCUGUGUGCUUUUAAUUCUUAUCAGCCCCACUCUAUCCCUCGGAUUGCUGACCACCAGCUGACUGUCACGGUAUAUUAGAUCAAAGGGUCUGUAGAGUAAUUAUAACUGUAUUCCUGCUGAGGUGCUACUGCUCAGAGCUGAGCAGUUUCUUGUCAAGAUUCCUUAGACUGUAUCAGGAAAGUAUGUAGUUCUCAAAGGCAUGUUAUAUUACAUAAAAUGGUGUUUGUUUUUUAUAAAUGAUCAUAAUUGACCAUUUGUGGUGUAAAACAAAUGUAUACUGAACAGAUGCUAAAUGAAUAUUCUGAUUAUUUCUGGAAAAUUUACAAAAAACUACUAUUUUAAGAAAAUAGUGCACUGUUGCCAUGGUAACAUUACUUUAACUUUUAAAUUAUUUUGGAUAUCAUCAUAUGUAAACAACAUCUUUUUUGUUUAUAUGUUAUAUAUGUUAAGCUGUAUUAUGUUAGUGAAUAUACUUAGUAUCUUCAUAUGUAAUAAUUGCAUCAACAAAGCACUAUGUUAUUACACAAGCCUGCCUUAAAAUGGCAAUAGUUGUAACUGAGAGAGGUGUAUCUGAAAAUUAUGUAUUUCUCAAACCAUAUUACAUUAAUUUUCAUGGAAUGAUGUCUACUCUCUUACUUUUAAAUAAGAAAACAGACAGCUUUUGAUGUAAAUAUAUGGAAAAACACUUCCAAUAUUCAACUUAAUACAAAGAAAUUGCCAAAAAUGUUAGUAUUUUUGUAAGAAAAUACCACAUUGUUGCCAUGGUAAUGUUAGUAUUUUUGUAAGAAAAUACCACAUCGUUGCCAAUGGUAAUGAUUCACUGAUCAGUAUAUCUAAGUCUUUUGAAAUUUUAGCAAACUCACAGUUGAUAAUAACAGUCUAAUAAUUAUAUCUUCUUGCCUGAUUUUCUUUCUUACUGUUUAAUAGAUAAGGUGUCUAUAAUAAUAAGAUUAAUGUCCUAGUUUUUGGGAUGUUGUCUAAUUUGAUAUCAAAUAAAUUCUGUAUCUUAUUCAAAAGAAUGUCAUAAAACAGUUGUCUGUAAACUGUUUGCACACUAGAAAAAGUUAAUUGUAUAUUUAUUUCACAUUCUAUGUAAUUUAUUGCUAGAUUCAUCAAGAGACUGUUAAAAAAGAGGUUAAACAACAGUGUUGCUAUAGAAACGAUUUUUAGAACAUAAAUAUUUUUAUACUACAUGAAAGAAAGAGACAAAAAGAAAUAUAUACCAUUAAUUGCA